GUUCUCUGGCUCUCUGCUUCAUCACUUAUCGCAGAAUCCGUGAGUUGUCUCUGCGACCGCAUAUCUACUGUUGAAAUCAUAAUUAUUUGAAAUCAUCCUUCACCACUGGCUCAUUAGUCAGCCAACGUCCGCAGUGUCGCCGUCAUUGUAGAUCGGUUAGAAACGCUAAACAUCAAAUACUACAUAAAAAGGAGGCGAAGAGCAUGGGCGAACGUCGCAUCGACGUAAGCUGCUUGAUGUGGCUAUAUAAAGUAGUUGCAGGAUUACAGCGAGUAUUGUCCGAAAACAGAAAAAACAUUUUUCAACGUGAUGACACCAUUGACGCGACCGCCGUGAGACAGCGCAGAGAAUCUAGCUUUUAGACCUACGACACUGUCGAUGCCACGUUGGUCAUAAAAUUAUGCUAUGCAAUUCCAUGAAAAGCAUUGCCGCAUGAGGCCUAUACCCAGCCUGAUGAUUAUUACCGAUUGUAUUAAUUGGUCUUUAUAAGAUCCGUCUUAAUCGUUUUUUGUCCUAAAUCCU